GAUGAACGCUAGCUAUAGGCUUAACACAUGCAAGUCGAGGGGAAACGGCAUUAUGUGCUUGCACAUUUUGGACGUCGACCGGCGCACGGGUGAGUAUCGCGUAUCCAACCUGCCCUUUACUUGGGGAUACCCCGUUGAAAGACGGCCUAAUACCCGAUGUAAUUCAUUGAUGGCAUCAGAUAUGAAUAAAAGAUUUAUCGGUAAAGGAUGGGGAUGCGUCUGAUUAGCUUGUUGGUGAGGUAACGGCUCACCAAGGCGACGAUCAGUAGGGGUUCUGAGAGGAAGGUCCCCCACAUUGGAACUGAGACACGGUCCAAACCCCUACGGGAGGCAGCAGUGAGGAAUAUUGGUCAAUGGGCGCAAGCCUGAACCAGCCAAGUAGCGUGCAGGAAGACGGCCCUAUGGGUUGUAAACUGCUUUUAUACGAGAAUAAUUUGAUGCACGUGUGCGUUAUUGCAUGUAUCGUAUGAAUAAGGACCGGCUAAUUCCGUG
rnacentral:rRNA from 1 species